UGCUCUAGCAACCCCUAUCCCUACCUCCUCGUGGUACCGACCGGAUUCUAUGAGCAACCUUAGGGAAGAUCGGGUAACCACUCCGGUGGGAACUAUGGACGUAGCCUGAUAGGGUAGG
rnacentral:ribozyme from 1 species